rnacentral:rRNA from 1 species
AGAGUUUGAUCAUGGCUCAGGAUGAACGCUAGCGACAGGCUUAACACAUGCAAGUCGAGGGGCAGCAUGAGGUAGCAAUACCUUGAUGGCGACCGGCGCGACGGGUGAGUAACGCGUAUGCAACCUCGCCCGAUACCGGGGUAUAGCCCAUGGAAACGUGGAUUAACACCCCAUAGUACUUUUAUCCUGCCUGGGAUGGGAGUUAAAUGUUCAAGGUAUCGGAUGGGCAUGCGUCCUAUUAGUUAGUUGGCGGGGUAACAGCCCACCAAGACGAUGAUAGGUAGGGGUUCUGAGAGGAAGGUCCCCCACAUUGGAACUGAGACACGGUCCAAACUCCUACGGGAAGCAGCA